rnacentral:lncRNA from 1 species
UUCAGGGUGAAGUGGAGAUAGAACCCUCAAGGAGCUAUGCUCGGGAUGAACAGUGUCUGCUGUCAUUGUAGUGAAGGGAGCACUUCAGGGCGCCCGUGAACUGUCCCGUACUGUCCAGCGCAGGGGGUCAAUGCAGGCCCCACUCUGUGAAUCCAGACCGAGUCUGCUUGGCCCCAAGAAUUUCCAGGUUGGCCCCAAGUGAAUGCCACCUGGCUGUAAGCAUGGUCACACUCUGCCACAGAGCGGAAUUGCAGGAUUCUGAUAAACCUCAGGAAGGAAAACAAAAAGAUGCCUUAGUUCCAUGGAAGGCUGCUCUGAGGUGUAUUCUGCUAAGUGGAGUCCAGACAGAACACGGAGAAGCUCCUUGAUUGCAUCUCUCCCCUGCCUUACUGUUUUCUGCUGCUCUUGACACUCCACUGUUCCGGCUAUUGCAAGGUUAGAAGGAUGCUCAUGACCAAUGGGACAGAGUCUUUUGCAUAUGGCCUUGAGGAUGAGUGCUUCUGAAAUCUGACAAGUAAGUAAUAAACAGGCAGUUCUUAGAGCAAGAGGCUAAGACUCCUGCUUCACUCGGAGGGAACACAAAGCUUUGCAGGGGUGGGUUACAGGUUUCCACAUCGUGAGGCAAACAUCACCUUUUACCAAGAAAAUGUCCUGGUAUUUCCUCCUAUAUUCAAUAGAGUAUAUUGAUUUAAGGUUUUAUAGGACUGCAUAAUUAUGUUUUAUCACAAAGAAAAAAUUGAAGUCAUAAUAAAAUAGUUAAAAUACACACGUUGGCUGAAAGUGGUGGCUCAGGCCUAUAAUCUCAGCACUUUGGGAAGCUGAGGUGGGAGGAUCACUUGAGACCAGAAGGUUGAGACCAGCCUGGGCAACAUGGCAAGACCCCCAUGUCUACAAAAAAUUUUAAAAACUAGCUGGGCGUGGUGGUGCACACCUGUAGUUCCAGCUACUUAGGAGGCUGAGGCAGAAGGAUCACUUGAACCCAGGAGGUUGAAGCUGUAGUGAGCCACGGUUGCACAACUGCACUCCAGCCUGGGUAACAGAGCAAAAUCCUAUCUCAAAAAAAGAAACAGACAGACAAAUACAUACUCUGUACUUUCUGCCCAGUUUUGCUGUGAACCUAAAACUGCUCUACACAAUAAAGUAUAUUAAAAAAAAAAAAACAGAAUUUCUUAAAUACUUAUGAUUAUAAAACGUAAUCAUAAGUAACAUACUAGGCAUAGUGAGUUUAAACUUCUCUCCAAAUUGGUCAAACAUGUGUUCUCUACAUUUAGGGAAAGUAACACGUAAGCGUUUACACACACACACAUGCCAAUAACAUACUGGUUCAAGGAAGCACCACAUUUAAGUGCUUUAAGUGUUUCUUUAUGAUAAAACUUGACAAAUGAGAGGAAUGAUGGGAAUUACAGAAAGGAUGGCAGGCGAGUAGGGUAAAAUGCUUUUGAUCUGGGAAAUGUGCAGCACCUCUUGGUUAAUUAGACCAUAGAAAGAGCUGUGAAACGGGCACCCUAUUGCUUAACACCCUGUGGCACAGACUCAUUAGCUUUGUGAAUUUCCUUGGAUUGAUUGUUAGAGCUAU